rnacentral:tRNA from 1 species
AAAUGAUUCUUAUCUCUUUUUGGAGAGAUGGCCGAGAGGUUUAAAGCGUCGGAUUGCUAAUCCGUUGUACAAUUAUAUGUAC